UGUCUUCAAUCUGGGCCCCCAAGCAACAGGGUCAUCUGUUUUGGCUCCUUCUCUGUGUAAACAGGGCUGGCAGCCCAAGUGGUUUGAGGACGGCCAGGCCCUGCUCUCCCUCUUCCCCACGCAAACACAUUACAAAGAAUCUUUGUAACUGUCCAGCAGAGUGGCCCAGCCCAGAGGAAGGGAGCCUGCAUCCGGGAGGGGGUGAGGGGAGAGAGACGUGCUGGAGGGUGGCAAGCGGAGGUGGCCGAGGGACGGUACCCAGCAACUCCCCAUACUGUAUGAUGUGGGGGCAUCAGCGUUGCUGUGUCUAACCACCAGAGGAAAGGGUCUGUCCCCUGCAGCAGAAACCAGGGAGGGAAUGAAGGCUGAUAUCCUGCAGUUCCGACACUUUUUUCAAAAAAAGGACUAAGCCUGGGGUCCCUGGGUGGGACUAAACCCUCCAGCUCAGGAUAGAAGAAAGAAUAUUACUUGGGAGGUUGAGAAAACAGAUUAUAUUCCUGCCUCCACCCUGCAAUGAGCUGUGUGCCCUUUGGAUGGUGCCUUAACCUCUCUGAGAUUCCUUGUCUGGAUAAAUUAGAAUCAUACUCUCUGCCAUUCGUUGAGCUCCCUCCAUGGGACAGGAACUUCAGGUAUGUUAGUCUAUUAAUGCACACUGCUACCCAGCAAGGUCGGAGUGGUUACUCCCACUUUCCAGAUAAAGAAAGUGAGACUCGGCAAGCAGAAGGGACUUGCACAGAAAAACACACCAAGUGGCAGAAGGACCUCUUCUCUGUGCCAAACUCCAUCCUGCCCCUGCGACUCAGAAAGGCAACAGCACCCGGAAGCAAAGCACAGGAGGAAAGCUGAAUUCGGCAAGCGGUGGGCCACUUGAGGACAGCACACACCCUUCUUCCCUCCUGGCAGCUCAGGUAGGCUCCGUGCCCAACAUGAGGCUUGAUCUCAUCACCCCAAGAUCGAGAGUUGCCACUGACUAAGCCAAGCAGGCACUCCACACCUGCCUUUCUUUUUUUUUUUUUUUUUUUUUUUUAAGAUUUUAUUUAUUUAUUUUAGUUGGGGAAGGGGCAGAGGGAGAGAGAGAAAGAAUCCCAAGCCAACUCCUCACUGAGCACAUGAAGCCCAGCUCGAGGCUCUACCCUGCUACUGAGAUCACGACCUGAGCCGAAAUCAAGAGUCGGAUGCUUAACCGACUGAACCACCCAGGCCCCCCAGCUCCUUUUCUUUUAAACGAUCUUCCCAGUUCUACUGGUAUAUAACGGACACAUUGUAUUAGUUUAAGGUGUAGGAUGUAAUGAUUUGAUAAAUGUAUAUAUUGCAAAAUAGUCACUGCAAUAAGUUAACAUUCACCACCAUACAUAGUUACAAAAAUUUUUUUCUUGUGAUAAGAACUUUUAAGAUUGACUCUCUCAGCAACUUUCAAAUAUACAAUACAGUAUUGCCAACUAUAGGCACCAUACUGAACAUUACACUGCCAGAAAUUGCCUUAUAAUUGGAAGUUUGUACCUUUUGACCACCUUUACUCAUUUUCCUCAAUCUCUAAGCCUCUGGCGAUCACCAAUCUGUUCUGUUUCUAGAUCUUUUUUAGAUUUGUUUCUAGAUUUGUUUCUGUUCUUUUUUUUAGAUUUUACAUGUAAGUAAGAUCAUAAAUAUGUCUUUCUGCGUGUGACUUGUUUCACUUAACAUGAUGACUCAAUGUCCAGUUGUAUUGUUGCAAACAGGAUUUACUUCUUUUCUAUGGCUGAAUAAUACUCCAUCAUAUAUACGUGUGUGUGUGUGUGUGUGUGUGUGUGUGUCUGUGUAUCUGACAUUUUCUUCAUCCAUUUAUCUACAGAAGGACACUAGUUUGCUUCCAUGUGUUGGUUAUUGUAAAUAAUGCCAUGAUGAACAACACAUGGGUAUAGAUAGCUUUUGGAGACAGUGAUUUCAUUUCCUUUAGAUAAACACCCAGAAAUGGAAUUGCUAGAUCAUAUAGUAAAAAUAGGUAGCUGUUCAGCAAUUUCCACAAUAGCCAAACUACAGAAAGAUCCGAGAUGUCCACUGAUGAAUGAAUGGAGAAGGAAGUUGUGGUGUGUGUGUGUGUGUGUGUAUGUACAACACACAUACAUAUAUGUAUGUACACACACACACACACAAGGGAAUAUUAUUCAGACAUCAGAAGGAUGGACACUCAUCAUUUACAUCAAGAUGGAUGGAACUGGAGGGUAUGAACCUGGGCAAAAUAAAUCAUUCAGGAGUGACUGGGUGGCUCAGUGGGUUAGGUGAUUGCCUUCAGCUCAGGUCAUGAUCCCAGGGUCCUGGGAUCCAGCCCCACAUCAGGCUCUCUGCUCAGUGGGGACCCUGCCUCCCCCUCUCUCUCUGUUUGCUCUUCUGCCUACUUGUGCUCUUUAUCUCUCUGUCAAAUAAAUAAAUAAAAAUCUUUAAAAGAAAUAAGUCAGGGGCACCUGAGUGGCUCAGUGGGUUAAAGCCUCUGCCUUCAGCUCAGGUCGUGAUCUCAGGGUCCUGGGAUCAAGCCCCGCAUUGGGCUCUCUUCUUGGUGGAGAGU